rnacentral:rRNA from 1 species
CUACGGGGGGCAGCAGUGAGGAAUAUUGGUCAAUGGGCGCAAGCCUGAACCAGCCAUGCCGCGUGAAGGAUGACGGCCCUACGGGUUGUAAACUUCUUUUGUAAGGGAAGAAACCGCUCUACGUGUAGAGUUUUGACGGUACCUUACGAAUAAGCAUCGGCUAACUCCGUGCCAGCAGCCGCGGUAAUACGGAGGAUGCAAGCGUUAUCCGGAUUUAUUGGGUUUAAAGGGUGCGCAGGCGGAAAAUUAAGUCAGUGAUGAAAUCCUGCAGCUUAACUGUAGAACUGUUAUUGAUACUGGUUUUCUUGAAUAUAGUUGAGGUAGGCGGAAUGUGUAAUGUAGCGGUGAAAUGCUUAGAUAUUACACAGAACACCGAUUGCGAAGGCAGCUUACUAAGCUAUGAUUGACGCUGAGGCACGAAAGCGUGGGGAGCGAACAGGAUUAGAUACCCUAGUAAUC